rnacentral:misc_RNA from 1 species
AUGAACUACAAAUGUAAAACUCUAGAUAAGUCGACCAAUGGAAUUCGAUUAAAUAACUCGAAGUUAUUUCUAUUUCAAUAACUGAUCGUUGAUUGGUUCAAGAAAUCAAUUAGUUAUUUUGUAUCGUACUUCCGUUUAAUGUUAAUGGAGUUGUCCUAUUGAUUGUAUUCACUUCCAAAAUAAUUCGAUCAACCAAUCAGAAAGUAUUUUGUAGCGCCCUCUAUAUAGGAACGUAUCGAGUGUAACGAAGCCACGUGUACUCGAAUAGGAGCCGGAAAGAGCCAUUUUCUUUCGAGACUUGAGAAGGUGAUCGUUAGCCAGCGUGGCCGGUGUGCUAGUGCACUAUACCAUAUAUACUGCCAUAAUGGCGGCUAUAUUACCUUUGUUGAUGGUAUCAGUUUUAUCUGCAACAUACACAGUAGGAGAAACAGUACCAUCAGUCAUUUCUUAUUUAUCAGAAAAUGAUAAAAUUCGUUUAAAACAUGUUAUCGAUCCUGGUUUGAAUCUGCAAGAUCCAACUUCGACAUAUUAUAGUCUGUACGGAUAUCAACUUCUUCAUGAAACUAUACCUAAUAAAGAAAAAAUUUGUAAUUAUCUGUUAAAAUCCAUUGGGGAUGGUAACAAUGUUGUACCUGAAACAGCCUUUUAUAUUGUAUCAGCAUGGAAAGCUAUCAAUACAUGCCAAGAUUUACCAAUACCUGCGAUUACAAAGGUUUUGAUGAAUACUAUAGACAAAGAUACAUCUACGUUCGCUGAAUUAUAUUAUGCUGUAAAUACAUUAACACUCUUGUCACAAAAAUUAACUACAGAGAAAUCUGAAAAAUUAGCUAAGACAUUGGCUUUCAGAAAAGACGACAGUCUGUGGAAUCUUGGAUAUACCUUCCACAUUGCUUCUGAUCUUGGAUCCUUUGGUACAUUUGCUUUGCAUCGUAUCGAAGAUGCUAUCAUACAAGCAGAUGAAGUAAAUGGACAGUUCUUGCAAUUCGAAGGUGGUCUGUCUAUAACAAGCUUCCUCCUAAAUGGUAUCUUCAAGCUUAGUAAUUCGUUAAAAAAGAAGCCACUCCUGACGUCUCAGCAAAUUGUCAAACUAACUAAUUAUCUUUUGUCGAGACGAUCCGUACAAACUCCUAAGGGCGUUGUAAGUCUUCUUUCAGCACUGAAUACAUUAGCAGCAUACGAACAUGAAACAUUAGUAUGUAUCACCUUACCUGAAGAAGGAGUCAUUGUUUCAAACAAACAACCCCUUGUUACUGUUAAAGUUUGUGAUAUUUUUGGUAAACCGUUGGCAACAGUACCGAAAGUUAUCACAAAUUAUGUUACUAAAUUGGAUGAUGAUACUGCUAUUCUCAAUAAAGAAACAUUACAGCCUUCAACAACAGAUAAAACAUUGUUUACGAUGGAUUUAAUGAAAGCUAAGCCAGAACGUGGAUUUUAUAAAAUAUCAGUCUCAGCAGCAUCUGUAACCAACAUCGUUAAGGUCAAAGUUCUUUCCGAAGUAGUGGUUGAUUAUUUAGAAAUAGGAACAGGUGAUGCUGAUCAAACUACGCAACCAAAAUUAACAAGAGUAACAUAUCCUGAAAAACUAAGUCAGAAGAUAGAGGCAGAUUCCCAACAAAAAUUAGUUGUCAGAUUUUUGUUGAAAGAUUCAGCUAAUAAAAAACCGAUGCGCGUUCACCAAGCAUUUAUCCGUUUAUCAUCUACUUCUACUACCAAUACUAACAAUGAAAAUGAAAUAACAUUUGUAGCUGAGCCAGAUAAUGCUAAUAUUUAUAAAUUUGAUAUGCCUCUAGCAGCAACAGCGAUAAACUUUGCUUAUCGCAGCGGGGAUUAUAAAAUAGCUUUAGUUAUCGGUGAUGCUGUAUUAAGUAAUUCUUUUGAAUGGACUAUUGCUAUGGUAAAUUUGAAAUUCCCUGAUGCUGUUGCUGCUGAAUCAAGCGAUAAGAAUGCUUUCUUCAAACAAAAAGCAGAUAUAUAUACAACCAAACCAGAAAUAAAGCACAUGUUCCGUGAACCGGAGAAGAGGCCACCAGCUUUCGUAUCAAAUUUAUUUACUGGCCUAUGCUUAUCACCUGCCUUUUUACUUAUUAUUUUGUGGGCAAAACUUGGCGUCAAUAUAUCUAAUUUCCCCUUAUCUCUUAGUGCUGUAACGUUCCAUCUUGGAUUAGGAGGUAUUUUCGUACUGUUUGGAGUAUUCUGGUUAAAAUUGAACAUGUUUGUAACAUUGCGUUAUCUUCUGGGACUUGGUGUUGUUACAUUCCUUGCGGGUAACAAAUUGUUAUCGAACAUUGCCCAUAAACACAAAUCAUAAAUCACUGAAUUAUAAACGGAGGUUCCUUUAGCACGCUCAAGUGAUAAUAUUAUUAUUACUACAAGUGCAUUUUAUAAUAAUGAAAGUUAUAAACAUGUCGAAAGUGUAACGUCGCUAAUUCAAUGUUGAUGCAAAAGUGAUAUACUUAUCGAAUAUCGUUCUAACUAUAUAAUUUAAUAAACAUAUUGAAAAAAAAAUAUAUGCAAUACUAUAUAAUUCUCAAAUACGUUACUUUAGAAUGUUAUAGUUUUUCUACGUAUUAAUUUGUACAUAAAGACUUAAUAAAUAAAAUUUAAAUUUAGAUAUAUAAAUAUAAAUAAAUAUAAAUAUGUAUUGCAUUUAUAUUGUAACAAACUAAUGAACGAAAAUAUGCGAUGUCAAAGUCGAAGAUUUUUAUUCACAAUUUUUAUAACAGUAUUGUGGUAUAGAAAUAAUUUAUUUGUUCACGAUAAUGAAUUAUGUUAUAUGCAACUAUCAA